rnacentral:rRNA from 1 species
AACGAACGCUGGCGGCAUGCCUAACACAUGCCAGUCGAACGAGACCUUCGGGUCUAGUGGCGCCCGGGUGCGUAACGCGUGGGAACCUUCCCUUAGGUUCGGAAUAACUCCCCGACAGGGGUGCUAAUACCGGAUAAUGUCUUCGGACCAAGGAUUUAUCGCCUUUGGUUGGGCCCGCGUUGGAUUCGCUAGUUGGUAGGGUAAAAGCCUACCAAGGCGACGAUCCAUAGCUGGUUUGAGAGGAUGAUCAGCCACACUGGGACUGAGACACGGCCCAGACUCCUACGGGAGGGAGCAGUGGGGAAUAGUGGACAAUGGGCGAAAGCCUGAUCCAGCAAUGACGCGUGAGUGAUGAAGGCCUUAGGGUUGUAAAGCGCAUGUACCCGGGAUGAUAAUGACAGUACCGGGAGAAUAAGCGCCGGCUAACUACGUG